GCUUGGCCCAUCGCUUCAGGCAUCCUCCCAAGUCUCGACCAUUUUGCAUUUGCCCAACGUAUGUUCAGACUCAGCUGUCAGUCCAUAUCGGGAUUCUUUACCCAGGCGAACUCUCCAGCACUCAAAAAGGGAUCUUUCUUGCUCGCUGUUGCUGACGACUACAGCCAGCGUCACACGUCAAGGAAGAAGAGAAGGAAGAUACUGAAGAUUUCUACUAAAGGGCCAACUCAUAAUGUUUUACUAAUUCUUUACAGUGGGGUAGGUACAAUGCAAAAAUUUGAGGACUUUUCAAGGAGUUAUGUAGAUUUAUAAGCUAAAACAUCAAUUGGGUUUGGUGGAAAAUGGUGUCAAUACCAUCUAAAAACAUAUGGAUGAGGAGGCAGCAAUGUCCUUGUGGGGAUUGGAAAUGUUUUCUUGCAUACGAAGGAGAGGCUGAGGAUACUAUUAUUUCGCCCGAAAGUGCAGUUAAAAAUGUUGAUUUCGGGUCGUCCGAAGCUAUGGUUGCCCCUUAUGUGGGAAUGGUAUUCAAGAACGACAAUGACGCUUUCGAUUAUUAUGGUAAUUUUGCAAGAAAGAGUGGAUUUUCGAUUAGAAAAGAACGCUCGAGAUUGAGCCAACAACUUGGUGUUUACAAGAGAGACUUUGUUUGUUAUCGUGCUGGGUUUGCACCUGCGAGAAAGAAACCCACUGGGGAGCAUCAGAGGGAUAGGAAGUCUGCCCGGUGCGGGUGUGAUGCAAAGAUGUACUUGUCAAAGGAAGUGGUAGAUGGUGUUUCUCAAUGGUUUGUUGUGCAAUUCAGCAAUGUGCACAAUCAUGAGCUCCUGGAAGAUGAUCAAGUGCGUCUCCUUCCAGCUUAUCGUAAAAUUCAUGAGGCAGAUCAGGAGCGCAUUCUGUUGCUGUCAAAAGCUGGUUUUCCAAUACAUCGCAUUGUCAAGGUGCUUGAACUGGAAAAGGGAAUUCAAGGUGGACAACUGCCAUUUCUAGAAAGGGAUGUCAGAAAUUUUGUUCAAAAUCGCAAGAAACUCGUUCAAGAGACUGAUGCUUUAUUGAAUGAGAAAAGAGAAAAUGACACAAUGGAUCUUCUCGAGGCCUGCAGGGUGACUAAAGAGUCUGAUGCAUACUUCGUCUAUGAUGUCACUGUAGAUGAAAAUGACAAGGUGGAGAACAUUGCUUGGUCAUAUGGAGACUCAAUUCAUGCCUACAACAUGUUUGGUGAUGUAGUUUAUUUUGACACGACAUAUCGUUCAAUGACUUAUGGUAUGCUUUUUGGAGCAUGGCUAGGGAUCAACAACCAUGGAAAAAUUAUUUUCUUUGGUUGUGCUUUAUUGCAGGAUGAGACACCUCGUUCAUUUGCUUGGGCUUUACAGGCUUUUUGUCGUUUUGUGAAAGGAAGAUAUCCACAGACAAUUAUCACUGAUAUUGACCUCGGACUGAGAGAUGCUAUAAGAAGUGAAUUACCAAAUACCAGGCACAUUAUUUCUAUAUGGAACAUCCUACCAAAAGUGUUCAGUUGGUUCUCUCUUUUACUUGGACCAAGAUAUUCAGAACUCAAGUCUGAGCUUGAAGUAUUAUAUCACGUUGAGAGCACAGAAGAGUUUGAGUAUCAGUGGAGUCAAAUGGUUUCUCGGUUUGGACUUAACUCAGAUAGGCACAUUUCUUUGAUCUUUUCCCUCAGGCUGUUUUGGGCAUUGUCUUACAUAAGAGGUUGUUUUCUUGCACAAAUGGCAUCUAUAUCAUACUCGAAGUCUGUAGACACAUUUUUUAAAGGAAUUUUCAGUGCUCAGACUUGUUUGCGUAGCUUCUUUGAGCAGGUAGGAAUCUUAUCAAAUUACAAAGCUCAGGCAGCACAUGAGGACUUGCAGUAUAUGCAACUUCGGACAUGCUUACCUCUUGAACAGCACGCACGAAAUAUACUUACCCCAUUUGCGUUUAAUGCUUUACAGCAAGAAUUGAUCUUAUCUAUGCAAUAUGCUGCUUCUGAAAUGGCUAAUGGAUCAUAUCUUGUACGUCAUUUUAAAAAGAUGGAUGGGGAAUACCUUGUUAUAUGGAUUCCAGAAGAUGAACAAAUUCACUGUUCGUGCAAGGAAUUUGAGUCUUCAGGAAUCUUGUGUAGGCAUGCUCUUCGAGUACUUGUGGUGAAAAACUAUUUUGAGCUUCCUGACAAGUACUGUUUGAGUCGAUGGCGACAAGGAAACUCAUUAGUUUCUUAUGGUGAGCAUGGUAAUCAAAUUGGAAUUGAUAAAUGGUUUCAGGAAUUCAAUUGUCUUACAGAAACAUUAUUUUCUGAAGCAUCACUAGCAAAAGAGCGUUCUGAUUAUGUGCGUAAGGAAAUUACAAAAGAACUCACAAGACUCAUUAAUGAAGUAAGAGAUAUGCCAUGUAAUUGAAGGGCUAUUGUAACUUCAACACUCUUGACCAAUUAACGGAUUGUACUAGAAUCUGCUUAAGUAGAUGCACCUACUUAACAAGCUCUUUGUUUCCAAAACUGGGAUAUAAGGACAUCUAAGUGAUUUUACAAUCAGAAGGUUAUGGAGGGUGUGAAAUUUUGGAGAUGAAGAUUACAGCUUGAUAGUUUGGCAUGGCAGCUUCUCUAAUGACUAAGGGAUUACUACGUUAGCAUUAGCAUCCGCUGUCCCUGAUCAAUGGAAGAAAAGCCAAACAAAAUCUUCUCUGAUUUUGUUCUCCCUUGAGUUGGAAGUGUUUAUGAUCUGUUGUACGAUAGAAAAGGUUAUUUCUUCCUUUUUUCAUUAGCUUAUCUUUAUCUUAUGAAGAAGAGAAAUCCUUCAUGGGAGUCUGCAGUUUAAUCACUGAAUGGUUUUCACAUAGCUGAUAUGACCCAUUGUUAUGGGUUAAUUCUGUGUUUUGAUCGGGAGGGGAGAAGAAAAUCCUUUCAAACAUAUAGUGAGGGGGAAAAUAACCAGCCAGAGGUGAAUGGUUUGUGAAUGAAUUUUGGGAAAGUUUUUUAGGCAAAUUCUGAUGGUUCAAAUAAUGCCAUCUUUAGGAAUUUCUGUGCCUGUACAUGUACCCUUUCUAAUAUAUCCUGAUAGUCACUGUAAGUGGCAUCUUUCUUGUUUUCAUUUCGUUAUUUCCCAUGGAAUUGUCUUCAUUCUGUCUUUGAUAAUAUGGUUAAAUAGUCAGAUGUCCUUAAUGUUGAAUUUGUGAAGCGGAGUAUGUCAUCUUGAAGAGCCAGGAAAUGGAAGCUAAUACUUUGCUAUGACAAAGUUUAUGGAUUUUUCUCCCAUGUCAAACUAAGCAACUCUGAAUUACUUCCUUGUUCUUUUUAAGCUGGUAUGAUAAUAAAGUUUUCCCACUUAGCUAUCUCGUGGUACUGCCUGGUGGCCAGUUGGUGUAGUGCCCCCCAAUGCACAAAUAUUCUGACCUGUUUAUCUUUUUGUGUCUCUGACAGUAGAGAGGGAUGGCCUAUUUGAUGACAUGCAAAACAGAAAAUCGACCUAGUCCCUUUUCUUUCUUGUGCCUAUUUUUCAAUUCAUUCAUCCGGAUGUUACAAGUUUUCUUUUUCAUCAAACAGACUUGCAACUUGGAGCGGUAACUUGCAUUAGCGUGUUGCUGAUGAAAGAAACAGAAGAUGUGGUAGUUAAAAACUGUAUUUGAGUUAUCAACCGCAUAAUGUAUAGUUUCAGAUCACUGCUGUUGGCAUGUCCACCAAGAAGAGAAUGUUCAUUAAUCCUAAUUGUGUGUCAGAUUAUAGUGUGAUUAAUGUUUCUCAAUGUGGUAUUGUACUAGCUCAUAUGCUGUCAAUCUGGGGUUUCUAUCCUCGACCCCUGGAAGGAUACUCCACCAACUGCUGGGCAGCAUAAUUCACUAUCAUAUCUGGAAAAGGUGAAAAGCAAAAGAGAGUAAGAAAUAAACCAUUGCGGCCCUUAGUUGUCCCAAAAUCACAUGUUUUGCAUGUAUGCCUUGUUUAUCUUGGUAAAAAUCCACCUAUUCGUGUUGUUUGUCGUUAGGCAUUAUGGCUGAGCGUAGUUGCCUUGUUCAUAGUGUCAAAUUCGAUCUGUGCUGAACAUGGCUGAGGAUACGUACUUGUUCAUGGUGCUUCUGAUUAAGAAUA